UACGAAGGGGGGCUAGCGUUGCUCGGAAUUACUGGGCGUAAAGCGCACGUAGGCGGCUUCUUAAGUCGGUGGUGAAAUCCUGGAGCUCAACUCCAGAACUGCCUUCGAUACUGGGAGCUCGGAGUCCGGGAGAGGUGAGUGGGAACUGCGAGUGUAGAGGUGAAAUUCGUAGAAUAUUCGCAAGAACACCAGUGGCGAAGGCGGCUCACUGGCCCGGUACUCGGACGCUGAGGUGCGAAAGCGUGGGAGCAACAGGG
rnacentral:rRNA from 1 species